GACGAACGCUGGCGGCGUGCCUAAUACAUGCAAGUCGAGCGAAGUUUUUCUGGUGCUUGCACUAGAAAAACUUAGCGGCGAACGGGUGAGUAACACGUAAAGAACCUGCCUCAUAGACUGGGACAACUAUUGGAAACGAUAGCUAAUACCGGAUAACAGCAUUAACUGCAUGGUUGAUGUUUAAAAGUUGGUUUUGCUAACACUAUGAGAUGGCUUUGCGGUGCAUUAGCUAGUUGGUGGGGUAAAGGCCUACCAAGGCGACGAUGCAUAGCCGACCUGAGAGGGUGAUCGGCCACACUGGGACUGAGACACGGCCCAGACUCCUACGGGAGGCAGCAGUAGGGAAUCUUCCGCAAUGGGCGAAAGCCUGACGGAGCAACGCCGCGUGAGUGAAGAAGGAUUUCGGUUCGUAAAGCUCUGUUGUUAGGGAAGAAUGAUUGUGUAGUAACUAUACACAGUAGAGACGGUACCUAAACAGAAAGCCACGGCUAACUACGUG
rnacentral:rRNA from 1 species